rnacentral:rRNA from 1 species
GAUGAACGCUGGCGGCGUGCCUAAUACAUGCAAGUCGAGCGAACAGACGAGGAGCUUGCUCCUCUGACGUUAGCGGCGGACGGGUGAGUAACACGUGGAUAACCUACCUAUAAGACUGGGAUAACUUCGGGAAACCGGAGCUAAUACCGGAUAAUAUAUUGAACCGCAUGGUUCAAUAGUGAAAGACGGUUUUGCUGUCACUUAUAGAUGGAUCCGCGCCGCAUUAGCUAGUUGGUAAGGUAACGGCUUACCAAGGCAACGAUGCGUAGCCGACCGAGAGGGUGAUCGGCCACACUGGAACUGAGACACGGUCCAGACUCCUACGGGAGGCAGCAGUAGGGAAUCUUCCGCAAUGGGCGAAAGCUUGACGGAGCAACGCCGCGUGAGUGAUGAAGGUCUUCGGAUCGUAAAACUCUGUUAUUAGGGAAGAACAAAUGUGUAAGUAACUAUGCACGUCUUGACGGUACCUAAUCAGAAAGCCACGGCUAACUACGUG